UUAAGCGACUAAGCGUACACGGUGGAUGCCCUGGCAGUCAGAGGCGAUGAAGGACGUGCUAAUCUGCGAUAAGCGUCGGUGAGGUGAUAUGAACCGUUAUAACCGGCGAUUUCCGAAUGGGGAAACCCAGUGUGUUUCGACACACUAUCAUUAACUGAAUCCAUAGGUUAAUGAGGCGAACCGGGGGAACUGAAACAUCUAAGUACCCCGAGGAAAAGAAAUCAACCGAGAUUCCCCCAGUAGCGGCGAGCGAACGGGGAGGAGCCCAGAGCCUGAAUCAGUGUGUGUGUUAGUGGAAGCGUCUGGAAAGGCGCGCGAUACAGGGUGACAGCCCCGUACACAAAAAUGCACAUAUUGUGAGCUCGAUGAGUAGGGCGGGACACGUGGUAUCCUGUCUGAAUAUGGGGGGACCAUCCUCCAAGGCUAAAUACUCCUGACUGACCGAUAGUGAACCAGUACCGUGAGGGAAAGGCGAAAAGAACCCCGGCGAGGGGAGUGAAAAAGAACCUGAAACCGUGUACGUACAAGCAGUGGGAGCCUCUUUAUGGGGUGACUGCGUACCUUUUGUAUAAUGGGUCAGCGACUUAUAUUCUGUAGCAAGGUUAACCGAAUAGGGGAGCCGAAGGGAAACCGAGUCUUAACUGGGCGUUAAGUUGCAGGGUAUAGACCCGAAACCCGGUGAUCUAGCCAUGGGCAGGUUGAAGAUUGGGUAACACUAACUGGAGGACCGAACCGACUAAUGUUGAAAAAUUAGCGGAUGACUUGUGGCUGGGGGUGAAAGGCCAAUCAAACCGGGAGAUAGCUGGUUCUCCCCGAAAGCUAUUUAGGUAGCGCCUCGUGAAUUCAUCUCCGGGGGUAGAGCACUGUUUCGGCAAGGGGGUCAUCCCGACUUACCAACCCGAUGCAAACUGCGAAUACCGGAGAAUGUUAUCACGGGAGACACACGGCGGGUGCUAACGUCCGUCGUGAAGAGGGAAACAACCCAGACCGCCAGCUAAGGUCCCAAAGUCAUGGUUAAGUGGGAAACGAUGUGGGAAGGCCCAGACAGCCAGGAUGUUGGCUUAGAAGCAGCCAUCAUUUAAAGAAAGCGUAAUAGCUCACUGGUCGAGUCGGCCUGCGCGGAAGAUGUAACGGGGCUAAACCAUGCACCGAAGCUGCGGCAGCGACACUAUGUGUUGUUGGGUAGGGGAGCGUUCUGUAAGCCUGUGAAGGUGGCCUGUGAGGGUUGCUGGAGGUAUCAGAAGUGCGAAUGCUGACAUAAGUAACGAUAAAGCGGGUGAAAAGCCCGCUCGCCGGAAGACCAAGGGUUCCUGUCCAACGUUAAUCGGGGCAGGGUGAGUCGACCCCUAAGGCGAGGCCGAAAGGCGUAGUCGAUGGGAAACAGGUUAAUAUUCCUGUACUUGGUGUUACUGCGAAGGGGGGACGGAGAAGGCUAUGUUGGCCGGGCGACGGUUGUCCCGGUUUAAGCGUGUAGGCUGGUUUUCCAGGCAAAUCCGGAAAACCAAGGCUGAGGCGUGAUGACGAGGCACUACGGUGCUGAAGCGACAAAUGCCCUGCUUCCAGGAAAAGCCUCUAAGCAUCAGGUAACAUCAAAUCGUACCCCAAACCGACACAGGUGGUCAGGUAGAGAAUACCAAGGCGCUUGAGAGAACUCGGGUGAAGGAACUAGGCAAAAUGGUGCCGUAACUUCGGGAGAAGGCACGCUGAUAUGUAGGUGAAGCGACUUGCUCGUGGAGCUGAAAUCAGUCGAAGAUACCAGCUGGCUGCAACUGUUUAUUAAAAACACAGCACUGUGCAAACACGAAAGUGGACGUAUACGGUGUGACGCCUGCCCGGUGCCGGAAGGUUAAUUGAUGGGGUUAGCGGUAACGCGAAGCUCUUGAUCGAAGCCCCGGUAAACGGCGGCCGUAACUAUAACGGUCCUAAGGUAGCGAAAUUCCUUGUCGGGUAAGUUCCGACCUGCACGAAUGGCGUAAUGAUGGCCAGGCUGUCUCCACCCGAGACUCAGUGAAAUUGAACUCGCUGUGAAGAUGCAGUGUACCCGCGGCAAGACGGAAAGACCCCGUGAACCUUUACUAUAGCUUGACACUGAACAUUGAGCCUUGAUGUGUAGGAUAGGUGGGAGGCUUUGAAGUGUGGACGCCAGUCUGCAUGGAGCCGACCUUGAAAUACCACCCUUUAAUGUUUGAUGUUCUAACGUUGGCCCGUAAUCCGGGUUGCGGACAGUGUCUGGUGGGUAGUUUGACUGGGGCGGUCUCCUCCUAAAGAGUAACGGAGGAGCACGAAGGUUGGCUAAUCCUGGUCGGACAUCAGGAGGUUAGUGCAAUGGCAUAAGCCAGCUUGACUGCGAGCGUGACGGCGCGAGCAGGUGCGAAAGCAGGUCAUAGUGAUCCGGUGGUUCUGAAUGGAAGGGCCAUCGCUCAACGGAUAAAAGGUACUCCGGGGAUAACAGGCUGAUACCGCCCAAGAGUUCAUAUCGACGGCGGUGUUUGGCACCUCGAUGUCGGCUCAUCACAUCCUGGGGCUGAAGUAGGUCCCAAGGGUAUGGCUGUUCGCCAUUUAAAGUGGUACGCGAGCUGGGUUUAGAACGUCGUGAGACAGUUCGGUCCCUAUCUGCCGUGGGCGCUGGAGAACUGAGGGGGGCUGCUCCUAGUACGAGAGGACCGGAGUGGACGCAUCACUGGUGUUCGGGUUGUCAUGCCAAUGGCACUGCCCGGUAGCUAAAUGCGGAAGAGAUAAGUGCUGAAAGCAUCUAAGCACGAAACUUGCCCCGAGAUGAGUUCUCCCUGAGACUUAGAGUCUCCUGAAGGAACGUUGAAGACGACGACGUUGAUAGGCCGGGUGUGUAAGCGCAGCGAUGCGUUGAGCUAACCGGUACUAAUGAACCGUGAGGCUUAACCUU
rnacentral:rRNA from 2 species